rnacentral:rRNA from 1 species
UGGUCAAGUUAUUAAGGGUGCAGGGCGGAUGCCUUGGCACUAGGAGCCGAUGAAGGACGUGAUAAGCUGCGAUAAGCUUCGGGGAGUUGCACGUAAACUUUGAUCCGAAGAUUUCCGAAUGAGGAAACUCACUUAGAGUAAUGUCUAAGUAUCAUUAAGUGAAUACAUAGCUUAAUGAGGGGAACUCAGGGAACUGAAACAUCUAAGUACCUGAAGGAAGAGAAAGAAAUUCGAUUCCGUAAGUAGCGGCGAGCGAACGCGGAUUAGCCCAAACCAAUAAAGUUUUCUUUAUUGGGGUUGCGGACAUAUCAUAACGAAGAGGUAUCGUAAUUGAAGAGGUUUGGAAAGACCCACCACAGAAGGUAAUAGUCCUGUAUGUUAAACGAGAAGACUUUAGAUAUGAUCCAGAGUACCACGGGACACGUGAAACCCUGUGGGAAGCAGGAGGGACCACCCUCCAAGGCUAAAUACUACCUAGUGACCGAUAGCGUAUAGUACCGUGAGGGAAAGGUGAAAAGAACCCCGGGAGGGGAGUGAAAUAGAACCUGAAACCCUGCACUUACAAGCUGUGGAAGCACAUUUCUUGUGUGACCGCGUACUUUUUGUAGAACGGGCCAACGAGUUACGUUAAGUAGCAAGGUUAAGCACUUAAGGUGCGGAGCCGUAGCGAAAGCGAGUUUUAACUGAGCGUUCAGUUACUUGACGUAGACCCGAAACCGGGCGACCUACCCAUGAGCAGGAUGAAGCGAAAGUAAAAUUUCGUGGAGGUCCGAACCCACGAGCGUUGAAAAGCUCGGGGAUGACUUGUGGGUAGCGGUGAAAUUCCAAUCGAGCCCGGAGAUAGCUGGUUCUCCCCGAAAUAGCUUUAGGGCUAGCCUCAAGGUGAGAGAUACGGAGGUAGAGCACUGAAUGUCCUAGGGGGUAUUGCACCUACCGAAGACUAUCAAACUCCGAAUGCCGUCAUCUUAUACUUGGGAGUCAGACUGUGGGUGAUAAGAUUCAUAGUCGAAAGGGCAACAGCCCAGAUCGUCAGCUAAGGUCCCUAAAUGUAAGUUAAGUGGUAAAGGAUGUGGGAUUGCACAGACAACCAGGAUGUUGGCUUAGAAGCAGCCACUCAUUCAAAGAGUGCGUAAUAGCUCACUGGUCGAGUGAUCCUGCGCCGAAGAUUUCCGGGGCUAAAACUUACUACCGAAGCUACGGCAUCAGUAAUGAUGGGUAGGGGAGCUUCCCAUACGGGUUGAAGCAUGACCGUAAGGACAUGUGGACAGUAUGGGAGUGAGAAUGUUGGCAUGAGUAGCGAGAUGUGGGUGAGAAUCCCACAGGCCGUAAACCCAAGGUUUCCAGGGGAAGGUUCGUCCACCCUGGGUUAGUCGGGACCUAAGCUGAGGCCGAAAGGCGUAGGUGAUGGACAACAGGUUGAUAUUCCUGUACUACCGAUAACCGUUUGAGAGAAGGGAUGACACAGUAGGAUAAGCUAAGCACACUGUUGGUUAUGUGUGCCCAAGCAUUGAGGCAGUCAAAGUAGGCAAAUCCGCUUUGAUAAUGCUGGGAUGUGAUGGGGAGCGAAAUUUAGUAGCGAAGUAGCUGAUUUCACACUGUCAAGAAAAGUCUCUAUCGAGGUUAAAGGUACCCGUACCGCAAACCGACACAGGUGGGUGAGGAGAGUAUCCUAAGGCCAGCGAGAGAACUGUUGUUAAGGAACUCGGCAAAAUGACCCCGUAACUUAGGGAUAAGGGGUGCCACCAUCAGGUGGCCGCAGAGAAUAGGCCCAAGCGACUGUUUACCAAAAACAUAGGUUUCUGCUAAGUCGCAAGACGAUGUAUAGGAGCUGACGCCUGCCCGGUGCUGGAAGGUUAAGGGGAUCUGUUAGAGCAAUCGAAGCAGUGAACUUAAGCCCCAGUAAACGGCGGCCGUAACUAUAACGGUCCUAAGGUAGCGAAAUUCCUUGUCGGGUAAGUUCCGACCCGCACGAAAGGCGUAACGAUUUGGGCACUGUCUCAACAACAGACUCGGUGAAAUUGUAAUUCCGGUGAAGAUGCCGGAUACCUGCGACAGGACGGAAAGACCCCAUGGAGCUUUACUGUAGCUUGACAUUGGGUCUUGGUACUACAUGUACAGGAUAGGUGGGAGGCUUUGAAACCAGGACGCCAGUUUUGGCGGAGCCAUCCUUGGGAUACCACCCUUGUAGUACUGGGACUCUAACCAUAGGCCAUGAAUCUGGUCUUGGGACACUGUCAGGUGGGCAGUUUGACUGGGGCGGUCGCCUCCCAAAAGGUAACGGAGGCGCUCAAAGGUUCUCUCAGUACGGUCGGAAAUCGUACGUAGAGUGUAAAGGCAAAAGAGAGCUUGAUUGCAAGACAUACAGGUCGAGCAAGGAUGAAAAUCGGACUUAGUGAUCCGGUGGUUCUGCGUGGAAGGGCCAUCGCUCAACGGAUAAAAGCUACCCUGGGGAUAACAGGCUUAUCUCCCCCAAGAGUCCACAUCGACGGGGAGGUUUGGCACCUCGAUGUCGGCUCAUCACAUCCUGGGGCUGUAGUAGGUCCCAAGGGUUGGGCUGUUCGCCCAUUAAAGUGGUACGCGAGCUGGGUUCAGAACGUCGUGAGACAGUUCGGUCCCUAUCCGUCGCAGGCGUAGGAAAUUUGAGAAGACCUGUCCUUAGUACGAGAGGACCGGGAUGGACGUACCUCUGGUGUACCAGUUGUCCUGCCAAGGGCAUGGCUGGGUAGCUAUGUACGGAAUGGAUAAGCGCUGAAAGCAUCUAAGCGCGAAGCCAACUUCAAGAUAAGAUUUCCCACCGCAAGGGUAAGACCCCAGAAAGACUAUCUGGUUGAUAGGUCGAAGGUGUAAGUGCAGCAAUGUAUUUAGCUUAUCGAUACUAAUAGGUCGAGGACUUGACCAA